GGGGGCAUAGCUCAGUUGGGAGAGCAGUAGACUGAAGCCAGCUCUUUGUGGUCAGCGCCAUAGUGAGAUGCGUUCUAAAGGUCCCGCUUUCGAUCCGCGGUGCCCCCA